GUCGAGAAUCUUUCACAAUGGGGGCAACCCUGAUGGAGCGACGCCGCGUGGAGGAUAAGGUCUUCGGAUUGUAAACUCCUGUCAUGCGUGAACAAGGUUGCUUGGUUAAUACCUGGGCAAAUUGAUGGUAACGCAAGAGGAAGAGACGGCUAACUCUGUGCCAGCAGCCGCGGUAAUACAGAGGUCUCAAGCGUUGUUCGGAAUCACUGGGCGUAAAGGGUGCGUAGGUGGCGUGGUAAGUCAGAUGUGAAAGCCCGGGGCUCAACCUCGGAACUGCAUACGAUACUGCCAUGCUAGAGUACUGGAGAGGUGACUAGAAUUCUCGGUGUAGCAGUGAAAUGCGUAGAUAUCGAGAGGAAUACCAAAGGCGUAGGCAGGUCACUGGACAGUUACUGACACUGAGGCACGAAGGCCAGGGGAGCGAACGGGAUUAGAAACCCUAGUAGUCC
rnacentral:rRNA from 1 species